UACGUAGGGUGCGAGCGUUAAUCGGAAUUACUGGGCGUAAAGCGUGCGCAGGCGGCUUUGCAAGACAGAUGUGGAAUCCCCGGGCUCAACCUGGGAACUGCAUUUGUGACUGCAAGGCUAGAGUACGGCAGAGGGGGAUGGAAUUCCGCGUGUAGCAGUGAAAUGCGUAGAUAUGCGGAGGAACACCAAUGGCGAAGGCAAUUCCCUGGGCCUGUACUGACGCUCAUGCACGAAAGCGUGGGGAGCAAACAGG
rnacentral:rRNA from 1 species